rnacentral:rRNA from 1 species
GACGAACGCUGGCGGCGUGCUUAACACAUGCAAGUCGAACGGAAAGGCCCUGCUUUUGUGGGGUGCUCGAGUGGCGAACGGGUGAGUAACACGUGAGUAACCUGCCCUUGACUUUGGGAUAACUUCAGGAAACUGGGGCUAAUACCGGAUAGGAGCUCCUGCUGCAUGGUGGGGGUUGGAAAGUUUCGGCGGUUGGGGAUGGACUCGCGGCUUAUCAGCUUGUUGGUGGGGUAGUGGCUUACCAAGGCUUUGACGGGUAGCCGGCCUGAGAGGGUGACCGGCCACAUUGGGACUGCGAUACGGCCCAGACUCCUACGGGAGGCAGCAGUGGGGAAUAGUGCACAAUGGGCGGAAGCCUGAUGCAGCAACGCCGCGUGCGGGAUGACGGCCUUCGGGUUGUAAACCGCUUUCGCCUGUGACGAAGCGUGAGUGACGGUAAUGGGUAAAGAAGCACCGGCUAACUACGUG